CGGGCCCAGAUUACAAAAAAAAUAAAAUAAAAAAUUAAAUAAAAUAGUAAUAAAAAUAGUCCAGUUACAAAAAUGUUAGGCCCAAAUUUAUAGGCUUAAAUGGCCCAAAACAAACAAAAACCCUAAAGCCCAUGACCCAAUUUUUUUUAGAAAAUUAAGAAACCCUAAUUCCUCUCUCGCAACACUCCUCGUGCUGUGUCAGUGUGCUCGCCGCCCGAAGCCUGCCACCCCUAUUGUCGUUGCACCAAAAUGGCAAAGGUGCACGUCCCAUUGCCCUCUGUUGACCGCGCUGACACUUGUAAAAAGGAUGAAAAAAGGAUAGAAACGGUAGCAGUGCAAAAACAAAAAAGAAAAGAAAAAAAAAUGUUGUAAUUUAAAACGACUAUAAAGGCCGAUUUCUUGUAAGAUUCAAAGGGACUUCUUUUUUAAAAAAGAAAAAAUCAAAUUCAAACACAAAAAAGGUAAAUUACUUUAUUUAUUUUUUAAUUCGUAAAAUAAGAAAAUAAUAAUAAAAAUAAAGUCCAUCACCUGUCUACUCGUGUCGCGCCACCAUCGGAGGUCCCCUUCAGUUACGAGAGUCGCCGAACCCAUUAGGGUAUCGUUUGGGCUUCGUAAAAAGGGGGAUACGAGAGGGAAAAUUGGCAGAAAAAGGGCAGAGGCUGAAUUUCAUUUCGUUCUUUUUUCUAUUUUUUAGGCAUUUGCCUUUAGAUCUAAAAUCUAGGUUUAAAAAUGGGCAAAAAGAGAUUUUUUUUUUGAAAUUCUAGCCACUGGAGGUGACAGUCGUCGUCACCGCUGACUGGUGGCCACGACGGAAAAUACGACGGCCUUAUGGCCAAAGAGGGAAAGGGUUUCGAGAGAAAAAAUAAGAGAAAGAAAAAAAA
rnacentral:lncRNA from 1 species